rnacentral:tRNA from 4 species
GGAGGCGUGGCAGAGUGGACGAUUGCACCAGUCUUGAAAACUGGAGAACCCGCAAGGGUUCCAGAGGUUCGAAUCCUCUCGCCUCCG